rnacentral:rRNA from 1 species
CAGUCGCCACGGGAAUACGGAGGGGGCUAGCGUUGUUCGGAAUUACUGGGCGUAAAGCGCACGUAGGCGGCUUGGUAAGUUAGAGGUGAAAGCCCGGAGCUCAACUCCGGAAUUGCCUUUAAGACUGCCGAGCUAGUAGGUGAGAGAGGUAAGUGGAAUUCCGAGUGUAGAGGUGAAAUUCGUAGAUAUUCGGAAGAACACCAGUGGCGAAGGCGGCUUACUGGCUCAUACUGGACGCUGAGGUGCGAAAGCGUGGGGAGCAAACAGGAUUAGAUACCCGCGUAGUCCCUGUCUCUUAUAC